CCUACGGGAGGCAGCAGUAGGGAAUCUUCCACAAUGGGCGAAAGCCUGAAGGAGCAACGCCGCGUGGGUGAAGAAGGUCUUCGGAUCGUAAAACCCUGUUGUUAGAGGAGAAAGUGCGUGAGAGUAACUGUUCACGUUUCGACGGUAUCUAACCAGAAAGCCACGGCUAACUACGUGCCAGCAGCCGCGGUAAUGCGUAGGUGGCAAGCGUUAUCCGGAUUUGUUGGGCGUAAAGGGAACGCAGGUGGUCUUUUAAGUCUGAUGUGAAAGCCUUCGGCUUAACCGGAGUAGUGCAUUGGAAACUGGGAGCCUUGAGUGCAGAAGAGGAGAGUGGAACUCGAUGUGUAGCGGUGAAAUGCGUAGAUAUAUGGAAGAACACCAGUGGCGAAAGCAGCUCUCUGGUCUGUAACUGACGCUGAGGUUCGAAAGCGUGGGUAGCAAACAGGAUUAGAUACCCUUGUAGUC
rnacentral:rRNA from 1 species